rnacentral:misc_RNA from 1 species
GGAAGUAAAAAGUCGUAACAAGGUUUCCGUAGGUGAACCUGCGGAAGGAUCAUUAUUGUAUAACCGAGGUGCGAGGGCUGUCGCUGGCCCGAAAGGUCGUGCACGCCCGAGUGCCCUCACACACAUCCAUCUCACCCCUAUGUGCACCACCGCGUGGGUCCCCCUUUGGCUUGUUCGGAGGGGGGCUUACGUUUUCACACAAACUUUGUAUGCAGUGUAGAAUGUAUUUUUUGUUUUUGCGAUCACGCAAUCAAUACAACUUUCAACAACGGAUCUCUUGGCUCUC